CUCAUUGGCUCAGAAACUAGCCUUUCCUCCCUGUCCCUACUCCUCAGAGCAAGAGCUCCACCAUACCCCAGGUCCUGUUCAUGCUUUCUGGUGCUGUAAAUCCUAACUAGUCACUGAAAAUGAUAACCUCAUGGAUUUUUCUUGUGACUUUGACUUGGAUUUGUGGAGACUCCAAAAUAAGGUUAUUUCAGGAUCAAAUAACCUUAACCCGAAGAUCAGACAGAACAGCACACAUCAGUUGCAAGGCCUCUGGGAUCCCCCUCCAGAAUGCCAUUGUGCACUGGUAUCAACUGAAAGAAGGGGAGCCCCUGAAGCGGAUCCUUUAUGGCUCCUCCAAGACUAACAAACAAGAUAAGCCCAACCCCCGCUUGGAGACAGAAGAGAGAGAAGAUGGCAUCUUUUAUCUGAUAAUCAAUAAUGUUGUCACCUCAGAUGAAGCCACAUACUUCUGUGCUUGCUGGGAUCCCACAAUGUCACAGAGUCACAAGGGACCUGUAUGAGAACCUCCCGAUUAAGACCCCUCAGCUGUGUUUAUAUGCAACCACAUGGACUCUCCAAUACUGUCAUUGCCAGGUUCACAGGUGUUGGAACAGAAAGGUGCUUGGGACAUAUUUAGCCCAAUGCUUUCACUUAAAAUUAGGAGCCAACUGGCUUGCUCAAGCUAGCGAACCUCAGAAGCAGGAAUACUCCUACCUUUCAGACUCUGUUCAGUGCCUCUUUCUACCUCUCUUGUGGUCAAUAUUGAUUAUUUUUUUAAAGCAACAUUGCAUAUCUUUCAAAAGGAAUCUGGGAACUAUUUUUUAUCUUCCAAGUGAUAAUCCAGUCUCCAACCAGGUUUUA